rnacentral:rRNA from 1 species
ACGGAAGGCAGCAGUGAGGAAUAUUGCACAAUGGGGGAAACCCUGAUGCGGCAACGCCGCGUGAGCGAUGAAGGUCUUCGGAUCGUAAAGCUCUGUCCUUAGGGACGAAGAAAGUGACGGUACCUAAGGAGGAAGCCCCGGCUAACUACGUGCCAGCAGCCGCGGUAAUACGUAGGGGGCAAGCGUUAUCCGGAAUUAUUGGGCGUAAAGAGUACGUAGGUGGCUGCGUAAGCGAGAGGUGAAAGCCCGGGGCUCAACUCCGGCGAGCCUUUCGAACUGCGUGGCUUGAGUGCAGGAGGGGAAAGUGGAAUUCCUAGUGUAGCGGUGAAAUGCGUAGAUAUUAGGAGGAACACCAGUGGCGAAGGCGACUUUCUGGACUGUAACUGACACUGAGGUACGAAAGCGUGGGGAGCAAACAGGAUUAGAUACCCUGGUA